GACGAACGCUGGCGGCGUGCUUAACACAUGCAAGUCGAACGGAAAGGCCCUGCUUUUGUGGGGUGCUCGAGUGGCGAACGGGUGAGUAACACGUGAGUAACCUGCCCUUGACUUUGGGAUAACUUCAGGAAACUGGGGCUAAUACCGGAUAGGAGCUCCUGCUGCAUGGUGGGGGUUGGAAAGUUUCGGCGGUUGGGGAUGGACUCGCGGCUUAUCAGCUUGUUGGUGGGGUAGUGGCUUACCAAGGCUUUGACGGGUAGCCGGCCUGAGAGGGUGACCGGCCACAAUGGGAAUGAGAUACGGCCCAGACUCCUACGGGAGGCAGGAGGGGGGAAUAUUGGAAAAUGGGCGGAAGCCUGAUGCAGCAAAGGCGCGUGCGGGAUGAAGGCCUUCGGGGUGUAAACCGCUUUCGCCUGGGAAGAAGCGGGAGGGAAGGGAAUGGGUAAAGAAGCACCGGCUAACUAAGUG
rnacentral:rRNA from 1 species